rnacentral:rRNA from 1 species
GCGAAAACUUUACAAUGCUGGCAACAGCGAUAAGGGAACCUCGAGUGCCAGGUCACAAAUCUGGCUGUCGAGAUGCCUAAAAAGCAUUCCAUAGCAAGGGCCGGGCAAGACCGGUGCCAGCCGCCGCGGUAACACCGGCGGCUCGAGUGGUAACCGUUAUUAUUGGGUCUAAAGGGUCUGUAGCCGGCCGGAUAAGUCUCUUGAGAAAUCUGGCAGCUUAACUGUCAGGCUUUCAGGAGAUACUGUCUGGCUCGAGGCCGGGAGAGGUGAGAGGUACUUCAGGGGUAGGGGUGAAAUCUUGUAAUCCUUGAAGGACCACCAGUGGCGAAGGCGUCUCACCAGAACGGACCUGACGGCAAGGGACGAAAGCUAGGGGCACGAACC